rnacentral:rRNA from 1 species
AUUGAACGCUGGCGGCAGGCUUAACACAUGCAAGUCGAGCGGAGAUGAGGUGCUUGCACCUUAUCUUAGCGGCGGACGGGUGAGUAAUGCUUAGGAAUCUGCCUAUUAGUGGGGGACAACAUUCCGAAAGGAAUGCUAAUACCGCAUACGUCCUACGGGAGUAAGCAGGGGAUCUUCGUAUCGUGCGCUAAUAGAUGAGCCUAAGUGGGAUUAGCUAGCUGGUGGGGUAAAGGCCUACCAAGGCGACGAUCUGUAGCGGGUCUGAGAGGAUGGUCCGACACACUGGGACUGAGACACGGCCCAGACUCCUACGGGAGGCAGCAGUGGGGAAUAUUGGACAAUGGGGGGAACCCUGAUCCAGCCAUGCCGCGUGUGUGAAGAAGGCCUUAUGGUUGUAAAGCACUUUAAGCGAGGAGGAGGCUACUGAGACUAAUACUCUUGGAUAGUGGACGUUACUCGCAGAAUAAGCACCGGCUAACUCUGUGCCAGCCGCCGCCGUAA